UGCAACAUUGCCUGUUGUCCUGCAGGCAGUAGUCCCGCAGCAAGCCAGCAUGCUUUCCUGGGGACAUGAUACCUGAGCUGGGCGUUUAAGGAUGCACUGGAGUUGUCCAGGUGGUGAAUAAGAGAAUGCACUCCAGGCAGAAGGAAGAGCAGGUGCAAAGGCUUAGAGACACGAAAGAGGGUGUUGUAUUUAAGGAAUGCCGGAAAGCAAUGAAGAUUCUAGAGGCACCUGCAUUCCUUGGCUUGUGGCCUCUUCCUCCAUCUCAAAGUGCAUCGCUCCAAUUUCUGCUUCUGUCAUCACAUCGCCUUUUCCUCCAGCUCCGACUCCUCCUGCAUCCAUCUGAAAAGGAUAAUCCAGGAUAUUCUCCCUAUCUCAAGAUCCUUCAUCACAUCUGCAAAGUCUCAGGUAUGGGUGGGGCUGAGGAUAUAAUCAGUUCUGGGCAAAAUUCCUCUGGAUGUGCAGAUUUGUGAAACUAGAAAACAAGCUUUCUGCUCCCAAAAUACAGUGGUGGGACAGCAUAAGACAACAGUUAUAGACAUUUCCAUUCAAAUAGGGAGAAAAUGGAAGGAAAAAAGGAGUCACCAGUCCCAAG
rnacentral:lncRNA from 10 species